CACCAAGAGAAGUUUAAAUUUAUAUUAAUGAAUGCCUGUAUGAUGAUGGCAAAGUCCAAUGCAUAUUUCAGGAAAGAAUGCUGAAGGACAGCUAUGCAGAGAAAGCUUUCCUGGAAUCACUGCUGAAGGAGCCAUUGUAGCUCUGACUUUAUUUUUUUCUGGAGAGCAGAUUACAAAGCACCUUACAUUCAAAAGCUCAAUGCUGAAGCUAUUAGAAACAUCCACCAGAGUGCCAGCUGCCCCUUGGAAGAGAAGUGAUCCAAGGUUUUUUCAGCUUAAGCACCAGAUUCAAGACUUUGAUUUCAAAUGGCCAUGGAAAACCAAAGCAAACUCCUUAGGUACUGAGUUUCUCAGAACAGAGC
rnacentral:lncRNA from 1 species